UACGGAGGGUGCAAGCGUUAUCCGGAUUUACUGGGUUUAAAGGGUGUGUAGGCGGGGCUUUAAGUCAGUGGUGAAAUCUCCGAGCUCAACUUGGAAACUGCCAUUGAUACUAUUGAUCUUGAAUUUUGUUGAGGUAGGCGGAAUAAGUCAUGUAGCGGUGAAAUGCAUAGAUAUGACUUAGAACACCAAUUGCGAAGGCAGCUUGCUAAACAAAUAUUGACGCUGAGGCACGAAAGCGUGGGGAUCAAACAGG
rnacentral:rRNA from 1 species